rnacentral:rRNA from 1 species
AACGAACGCUGGCGGCAGGCUUAACACAUGCAAGUCGAACGCAUCCUUCGGGGUGAGUGGCAGACGGGCGAGUAACGCGUGGGAACGUGCCCUUCAGUUCGGGAUAACCCAGGGAAACUUGGGCUAAUACCGGAUACGUGCGAGAGCAGAAAGAUUUAUCGCUGAAGGAUCGGCCCGCGUCUGAUUAGCUAGUUGGUGGGGUAAUGGCCCACCAAGGCGACGAUCAGUAGCUGGUCUGAGAGGAUGAUCAGCCACAUUGAGACUGAGACACGGACCAAACUCCUACGGGAGGCAGCAGUGGGGAAUAUUGGACAAUGGGCGCAAGCCUGAUCCAGCCAUGCCGCGUGAGUGAUGAAGGCCUUAGGGUUGUAAAGCUCUUUCGUCCGGGACGAUAAUGACGGUACCGGAAGAAGAAGCCCCGGCUAACUUCGUGCCAGCCGCCGCGGUAA